CGCGAAUCGCCCUUCGGGGUGCAGCAGGCGCGAAAACUUUACAAUGCUGGCAACAGCGAUAAGGGGACCUCGAGUGCCAGGAUACAAUCUUGGCUGUCGCGAUGCCUAAAAAGCAUUGCAUAGCAAGGGCCGGGCAAGACCGGUGCCAGCCGCCGCGGUAACACCGGCGGCUCGAGUGGUAACCGCUAUUAUUGGGUCUAAAGGGUCUGUAGCCGGCCGGAUAAGUCUUUUGGGAAAUCCAGCUGCUCAACAGUUGGGCUUUCAGAAGAUACUGUUCGGCUCGAGACCGGGAGAGGUGAGAGGUACUUCAGGGGUAGGGGUGAAAUCUUGUAAUCCUUGAAGGACCACCAGUGGCGAAGGCGUCUCACCAGAACGGAUCUGACGGCAAGGGACGAAAGCUAGGGGCACGAACCGGAUUAGAUACCCGGGUAGUCCUAGCCGUAAACGAUACUCGCUAGGUAUCAGCCACGGUGCGACCGUGGUUGGUGCCGUAGGGAAGCCGUGAAGCGAGCCACCUGGGAAGUACGGCCGCAAGGCUGAAACUUAAAGGAAUUGGCGGGGGAGCAC
rnacentral:rRNA from 1 species